rnacentral:rRNA from 1 species
AGCAGUAGGGAAUCUUCGGCAAUGGGGGCGAACCCUGACCGAGCAACGCCGCGUGAGUGAAGAAGGUUUUCGGAUCGUAAAGCUCUGUUGUAAGAGAAGAACGUGUGUGAGAGUGGAAAGUUCACACAGUGACGGUAACUUACCAGAAAGGGACGGCUAACUACGUGCCAG